rnacentral:sRNA from 1 species
GGCGGUGGCGGUUUGCCCGCGGGUGUGUGAAGGGAGACAGUGUGGAGGCCACAGGGUACUCGCCACGAUGAGCAGCACCUUAGCUAAGAUCGCGGAGAUAGAAGCAGAGAUGGCUCGGACUCAAAAGAACAAGGCCACAGCACACCACUUAGGGCUGCUUAAGGCUCGUCUUGCUAAGCUUCGUCGAGAACUCAUUACUCCAAAGGGUGGUGGUGGUGGAGGUCCAGGAGAAGGUUUUGAUGUGGCCAAGACAGGUGAUGCUCGAAUUGGAUUUGUUGGUUUUCCAUCUGUGGGGAAGUCAACACUGCUUAGUAACCUGGCAGGGGUAUAUUCUGAGGUGGCAGCCUAUGAAUUCACUACUCUGACCACUGUGCCUGGUGUCAUCAGAUACAAAGGUGCCAAGAUCCAGCUCCUGGAUCUCCCAGGUAUCAUUGAAGGUGCCAAGGAUGGGAAAGGUAGAGGUCGUCAAGUCAUUGCAGUGGCCCGAACCUGUAACUUGAUCUUGAUUGUUCUGGAUGUCCUGAAACCUUUGGGACAUAAGAAGAUAAUUGAAAAUGAGCUGGAAGGCUUUGGCAUUCGCUUGAACAGCAAACCCCCCAACAUUGGCUUUAAGAAGAAGGACAAGGGAGGCAUUAAUCUCACAGCCACUAAACGGAGAUUUGCCAUGUUGCCCAGGCUGGUCUUGAACUUUUGGCCUCAAGCUGUCUCCUGCUUCGGUCUCCCAAAGUGUUGGGGUUACAGUGCCCCCAGAGUGAGCUGGAUGCUGAGACUGUGAAGAGCAUUCUGGCUGAAUACAAGAUUCAUAAUG